AGUCGGGAGAAACGUCUGGCAUUUGGUGAGACUCGUUAAGCUGGUGGCUCUCAACGUGUGCACUUCUGUUAAAGGGCAUCAGGGAAGGAGGUGAGAUGGUAAUUGCAACCAGGCUCUGCUGCUGCUGGAACAGCUGGGACAGGGAGGUGAUUGAUCAGUACAGCUUCAGCAGCACUUAAUUUGCUGCUAUUGAUCUUCCACCAGAGGCAACAGAUACCGUGACCCAACACCGGGCUGUUGGGCCAAGAUAAAAGGUACCUGCUUCUAAUUUCCUUUGCUAACAACAUGGCUGAGCUCGUUGUGCUGGAGAAGCCCACCCCACACCGUGUGGGAAGAAGGCAAAGGAGACCCCCUUGGUUUUCAGGGUUGCCUGAACUCAACCAGCUGAGCAGACAGCAAUGCAUGAUACUCUGUGUGGUACAUGGGAGCAGAACUGAAAAUGUUGGACAAUUUCAGUAGUCCUCCAAGGCUCUCUGUUCUUCAGCAGCUUCUCAGAACACACAAGUACCUACAUGCAGACUAAUUAGAGGAGCACUGAUGGGCUUGCCUGAAAAGACUAGAGUAUCACCCUGUUUUCAUCUGCCCCUAAGUGCUGAGAAAGGUGGUGAUGUAACCACUUGGUCAGCCUGACUGCCAGGAAUUUUCCUCUACAACAAAAGGAAGGCCACAUGGGCAUGGCUAUGACUCUGCCUCUGCAAAGGACCCUUCCCUCUUAUUCUCCACGAAUCUGAAAGCCAAAGGGGAAUGUUUCACACUAGCCUCUGCUGAAGAACUUACUGGAGACCCAAGUUUCUUCCUGCUUCUUCUCACCUGCAAGCAAGGAACAGCUGAGGGCAAUUCUUCUGCUGAGGGCAUUUUUUUGAAGGGAAAGGGCUGUCAGCCCAGAGCUAGUAGGCAUAAAGUAUUACAGUUCCCAUCGCAUUGAACAGCAUCCUUUUAUGAGCAGACAGUAUGCAAGCCAUAAAAUCCAUGGAUGUUUCUGUACUCUGUAAAAUGUGUCUUUAGAUCUGUCCAGGGAACAACAGCCUUUCCAGUUUAUUUGUAUGGUGGAGUUGAAGAAUACAUUCAGUGUUUGUUGCACAAUGCCCUGCUAUGGUGACUGAGGGAUUGCUCUUCCCCUGCUACUCCCAGAGCACUUAAUCCUGGUCUAGAGGUUAACAUGCCAACCCCAAAACUGGUCUGCUGAUACAAGUUAGUGCCUAGUUGCAUUUGCUCUAGCCACUCUCUUGCUCCCAGCUCAGAAGGAGAACAGGGCUCUGUCUCCUGCUGGGACCUGGUGCUGCCCAUCUGUCCCCACUCAGAGCCUGCAGAGCACUGCCUGCUGCAGGACAGAUCCACCCCAGGAGCAAGCCAGAAAAGGGGGA